GUUGAUACCGCAUUUCAUAACAGAAGACUUCAGCGUCUCAGGCAUCUCAGGAAUUUUCUUGGCGGGCGUCGUGAGUGCAUCAAUCAGCACAGUGUCCUCGAUAGUGAAUUCUCAAGCAGCCGUAUGGUACUUUGACGUCAUCACUCCGUUCGUCCAAGUGUCUAACACACGUGUAGGCUGCACCGUAAAAGGAAUAGCGCUUGCAGUUGGCGCCACCAUGGCAGCUCUCAGCGUGGUGAUCCCCUA